ACGCGAUUCGUUUUUUCCUGUUUUCAGACCGCUCGUUUCGUUAGUAUGUAAUCGUUUUCUUCGUCUUAAAAAAGUGUACCUUCAGUUUUGUGACUUUACUUUACGUCUCAACUUUACUGGGUCACAAUUAUUGGUUAUUAUUCACAAUUCACAAUGGUGUACAUCGUAGAAGAUGCUACUGAUUUCGGCAGCUGGUUGGAGACCGCAUGCGAUAAGCUGGUCCUGGUGGGCUUUUUCGCAACCUGGUGCGGCCGUUGCAACUUGCAAGGUGGUUGCCUCUAAGUUGGACGAAUUCCAGACCGAAUUACCAACAAGAUCGUUGUCAUCAAGGUGAACGAGAGUGAGUGUGAUUUGGCAUACAACAUCUAGCAUCCCAAAAUUCUUCUCCAAGGAAAAAUCCAUGGUCGAAUCGUUUUCCGGCGCAAACGCCGAAAAGCUGGAGUCCAAUAUUAGGAGACUCAAUCAGUAGAUUGGAAAUAUGAAACAAUAACGUGAAAGAAGAAUACACUCCAAUAAAAAAAGCGUAUGUGAUUUUUGUUGCCGUUAUCGAUAGAACGACUAAUGUUGAUAUGGUUCCGAUUGACACCUCCGGGCAGCAGAAUUGUAUAAUUAAUUAGCAGCUUGUCACUAAAGGACACGUGCCAAAGAUAGAUUUUGGAAUUUGAAAUCAUACAUCAAGCUUUCAACUUUGUUGGAAGCCAAGAACUGGUUCCACCUGGAGGUGUUGUCAAUUUAGCUACUGUACUUCGAGGUGGAGUGCUGGAAAACGGCACCGCGACCGACUUUAAGAUUAUUUGCGUACCAAUGUGUGUCCUGAUGCGGGCUACUCAAUUUACUACGCCUGCCGGCAGUCGUUUGGUUCACCUAGAACUUCUGCCCACUACGGAACUAUCGGUGAUACCGAACUGGAAUUAAAAAAUCUUGAUGACAACGAAAUUGUUAUCGGUGAUAUUUUGCCACAGCGUCCGAUCGAUGGUGGUUCCCGAAAAACGAAAGGCCUACCGUCGGAGUUCAAUUGGUUAGUUGAAUCACAAAUAUUCUUGGGUUCUAUCUAUGGCUGACUCUCGAAUGAAUUCUGCUGACUGAUUCUGCUGAACAGAUCGCCACGGUACGUGAGUUGAUAUACCGAAACUCAGAAACAGCGCAAGGCCAACGAGGAAGUCGAGCAAGCAGAGGACGAAGCUACGGUAAAACGGAUCUCGAGCUUAAGAUUCCAAAGAUAUGGGAAACACGGUUGCAGACAUGCGUCGAACUGGUGUGAGUGAAUAUUCAAUAUUCUCAGCAGCUGCUUGAAACCACAGCCGUUUUUCGUGCACAAAAUUAUCCCCAACCAUCUGUCCAAAAUUAACGCUCUUGUUAAGCUUGUGAAGCUAAUAAAAAAAUAUGUCAUACUAUAAGGAGACUAUGGUCUGUAUGAGCUCUGCAACAAAAAAACUAAAAGUCACAACGCUCAAGGCUGGCCAUCGAUCUAUGCUGGUGGGUGGCUGUAUUUGAGGUUUCUAAGGCGACUUCUGGAACUGAUUUAAAUCCAUGAACUUCGUUCUGUAAACACCCACAGCAGACGUACUAAGUGAAUAGUUUAACUUAUUUUAUACGGUUUCUAUAUAAGUGCAUGUUACUAUCCUUGUUCGCAUUAAUUUUACCCUUAUUAUAUUUUAAACUAUAAUACAAUUUACACCCAUUCUAGCAAACAGGUCCAUUUAUUGUUAACUGAAGUCAACUAUUCUGUUAAAAUUUAAAACAUAAUCUGAUAUGAUGUUUCCGGAGAGCUUAUAGAUUAAGAUUUUAAUCCGCAAAUUAAUGGAUUUAAAACAUGUUACGCAUAUAAAAAAACAAUUGUACGAAACCAGGGCCA